UACGUAGGUGGCGAGCGUUGUCCGGAUUUACUGGGCGUAAAGGGAGCGUAGGCGGACUUUUAAGUGAGAUGUGAAAUACCCGGGCUCAACUUGGGUGCUGCAUUUCAAACUGGAAGUCUAGAGUGCAGGAGAGGAGAAUGGAAUUCCUAGUGUAGCGGUGAAAUGCGUAGAGAUUAGGAAGAACACCAGUGGCGAAGGCGAUUCUCUGGUCUGUAACUGACGCUGAGGCGCGAAAGCGUGGGUAGCAAACAGGAUUAGAUACCCCGUA
rnacentral:rRNA from 1 species